UCUGAAAGGCGGGAUCUGAAGGAGCGGGAUCUGAAGGAGCGGGAUCUGAAGGAGCGGGAUCUGAAAGGCAGGAUCUUAUGCAGCCGUUAAUUGAGGGCACUGUUUGAGCAGAGUGAGUCAGAGCUACACUACUGAAGAAAGUCCCUCUUGGCUCAGUGCAUGAACAGCUGUCCUGGUGUUAAUCUGCUGCCCUCAUGAGUGUGCGUUUUCACGAAUGGUGAAGCCAAGAAACUGUACUACGAACCUGACUAUUAAAGAAAUGGUCUGGUGUAAAAAAAAAACCCAUCAUAUUUACACAGUUAUCCCCCUUGCUCAAAUAUAAUCAAAUAUCAGUCAUGCCUAAUAUGCACCUAAAACCAAAUCCAGUUCAUAAGUGAUGUCAUGCAGACAAGCUAAUGGUACUGCUAAUUUACUGGCCUGGGGAGUAACAGAAUACAUGUAACCGUGUUACGUAAUCCGGAUACAAAAACAAACAAACAAACAAACAAACAAACAAACAAACUGGUAAAUAAUCCGUUAGCCUACAGUUAGGUCCAAAAACUAAGUAAAUUAGACUGCAGGUUUAUUGGGAUUACAUUUUUUUUUCAUUUAAAACCAAAGGAAUUAAACUUUUGCGGGGAUCCAGACUGUGGCUAAAACGGUCGACCGAAAAUAUUCAUUUGCGAGUGAUUUUUUUGCUGAGAUUGCCACUGGUGACGAUAUAAACUUACUCGUUUAGAUUUAAAAAUUUGCAUGUAAUGUCUUUUUAAUUGCGUGUUCUGUGAGGAGUGGCCCUUCACAUCAUUUGUUGUGUUGACGUAAUAAAAUGAGACGUUGGGAAAAAACCCCCAAAAAAGUGUUUCACAAUUCAAAUUCAUCCAGAGCGCCAAAAUACGCACAGGGAAAGAGAGGGUCAGCUUUCCGCCUCAGAAAGACUUGUCAAAACGAAAAAAUAUCAGACUUCUGAAACAAUCCCCAUCUCUGUCGAGCACCAACGCUGAUGGCACACCUGCUAAUCAAAAAGCAGGCUCCAGAUGUGCAGGCAUAUGAGAGAGAGAGAGAGAGAGAGAGAGAGAACGACGGAGACUCGGAUGAUCGUCUUUCCGUGUCAAUCAACGAAUGCCCAAGUAGAAGUGCAGAAAGGCAAUUUUAAGACUUCUUUUUUAUUCCAAAGAGGGCAGAGAGAAACAGCCGGGAGAACGGAUUUCAUUACUGGAACGAACCAUCUCAAGAAAGAGACAGUCAGUACGUUUACAUGGACAACAAUAAUGUGAUAUUAACCCAAUUAAGAUGAUACUCUGAUUAAGAAACUAGCAUGUAAACAGUGAUUACUGAUGACCUUAAUCCGAUUACAGUCAUACUCGAAGUAAACACAAAUGGAAUUAAGACGUGUGGAGUAUUCCUGUUUUAGUCGCGUUAUCGACACGUAUUACAGACGUGUAAACACCUUAAUCACACUAUUAACGUCGUGUGGGAGUUUUCACUGCAUUGUGCGACAGGACACAUUUCUUAAACUGUCUUAAUCGGGUUAAUAUCAGAUUAUUGUUGUCCAUGUAAACGUAAUGAAUGACAGAGACUCUGCAUGUGCUUUGAGCAGAAUGCAACUAGUUGAGAUAUCGCUUGUCCUACCAAUUUUGAACCCGAGUCCUACCAGAGUGAACAUGGCUUUUCAGCUCAAAAUGGGAUAAAAUCAAAAAAAGUACGCAAUGAAACCUUGGACAACUUGAUCGGGAUCAGAACAGAGGGCCCAUCACUUGAACAGUUUGAUCCGGAACCACGUGUCAAACGCUGGCUUUCUGCAAAACGGAGGAGGAGGAACAGCAGGAUGAGGAGGAGGCCAAACUACACUCAGUGGCCAAGUGAUGCUGACAUACAGUAAUAAAGGUCAGUGACACUGGCUCAGAUUCUGUGGAAAGAGCAAUUCUUUGCGACUGUAUAUAGUUCUCAAGUUGGAAAAGACGUUCAGUUCCCACAUUAAGUGAACUUGGAUGAAAAUGCUGACGCUGUAAAAGGCGGGACGUACACACAUCACAGGAUGACUGAAAGAGUCAACGGCUCAUUAAUAGAUUAAUUUCGUCUGGAGCCCUGCUUUUGACACGACACGAUAUAGACAGCUGCAUGAUUAUAGAUCUGGUUCACUCUUACCAGUUCAAAUCCAAACAUUGAACAUGUUUUUAAGCUCUAAAAUAAGCUCUAAAUAAAUGUAUCUUAGAUCAUA